GCCGGGCAUGGUGGCGUGUGCCUGUAGUCCCAGCUACUCGGGAGGCUGAGGUGGGAGGAUCGCUUGAGCCCAGGAGUUCUGGGCUGUAGUGCACUAUGUCAAUCGGGUGUCUGCACUAAGUUCGGCAUCAAUAUGGUGACCUCCCAGGAAUGGGGGACCACCAGGUUGCCUGAGGAGGGGUGAACCGGCCCUGGUCAGAAAUGGAGCUGGUCAAAACUCCCGUGCUGAUCAGUAGUGGGAUCGUGCCUGUGAAUAGCCACUGCACUCCAGCCUGGGCAACAUAGUGAGACCCUGUCUCUA
rnacentral:SRP_RNA from 1 species